UUUUUUUUUUUUUUUUAUUUCCAUAAAAAUCAGUGACCAAAAUGUUUGAAAAAGAAACUAAAAGUGCUUCUCUAGGUAUAAGGACUGAGAUUGAUCUUGGGUAUAUACUAAGAUAGUUAUGCAUGAGAUAUGCAGCAAAUAUAGAAACUUGUUGGAGAGUUCUAUUUUUUAAGAGAAAAGAAAAAUUGAAAAUCGGAGAAAACAUAUGGAACAAUUUAAUCUAGUACCUUCAUGCAUGUAGAUGUAUUCUCUUGCUUUUGAGGUCAGUUAUGACGGUUGAUUGACUUAGCAAUUAGAGAUGAAGUUGGAGCAAAUAUUUUACAUUUUUAAUUCUUUGCGCUUAAUUUAUCCAUAUUAAUUUUGUGGUAUACAUGUGUGCAUGUGCGCACUUUGCACACAUAGAUUGCAGUAGUGUUACAAGCCAAACUUGACAUCUCAAUUUCAGUAAUAACUGAUCUGCU
rnacentral:misc_RNA from 1 species